rnacentral:lncRNA from 1 species
UUCUUUGCAUUUUUUACCCCUAAGAAGCCAACUCAGGGUGCUGCUAUCUGGUCUCAAUGGUAGGGCGCUAACUACGGAGCUACGCCCUUUCCUCGCGCUGCCGCGCCGCUCGCGUGUGAACCUGUAACACCCCAAAACAACGUGGGGUGAGAACUAACUCCAUAGUUCCCAGUGGGUACGGCCACCCAAGGGAAGAGCUCGACCAUCAGAUCCAAAAGAGGCAAACAACAUGUUAGUCCAAUAGAUAGUAUGAAAUCAUAAAUCAUGCAACUAACAUUACCAUGCUUUUGCCUCACAACAUGCAAUAUGCAAAUUAUGCAACUCAUAUAGUAGAUUAAUUGCUUCUACACUUUAUUCUUAUCCAUUCUUUACUUUUACUCAUUCUUUACUUUACUAGCUAUUCUUUAGCAUUAACCUUUCUUUAUUCUUUAUUACUUGUCUUUCUUUAACAUUAGCCUUUUCUUAUUCUUGAUUCUUCAUUCUUUAUUCUUUACGCUUUACUAAGGGUACUCACACCUUAGUAAUAUUAUACACAUUAGCCUUUCUUUCCUAAGGUUACUUUACCUUAGCCAACUUUGCCAUCCGACUCGGUCUUGAGUCAAUCAACUGCGGAUAGUCCGCGCUCUGUCCGGCUCGAGGUGAAGGAACUCUCACAU